AGAGAGAAUUAGCAGCAAUUAACAAGCAGAUGUGGCACAGCAGCAGGAGAAGAUUUUUUAGAAAAAUAGUAGCACACAAAAUGCCCAACAGUGACCCAGCAAUCUAAAAGAUUGAAUGUACAAUACCAACAGCAGCAGCAAACAACCAAAACUUCAAAUCCAAGCAGGAAUAAAGCACUACCAACUCGAAAGAGACUAACACCCUUUGAAACUAGGCUAUGAGAAAGAAUUUUGGAAGCUAUAACUCGACAGUUG
rnacentral:lncRNA from 1 species